GCAGGCUCUGAUAAGAACCGAUAGUUUGUGCCAAUACGCGUAGUACUGUUCCAACUGUGGCUGAAGCAGCUCGUUGGUAUUUGAGAAACUGAUACAGUUCUUGUGCAAAGAGCAAUUAACAAUUGCACAGGAAAGGAAGAUUACUUAAAGUCGUGUCCUUAAUCAUUUUCUUGCAUUUUUGCAAGCUUAUCUUCAUCUCGAAAGGUCAAAGCUAAAACGCAGCAGCAAAGCAAACUGUAGUAUCUGUCGAUCGUUGUUAAAAGAAGAGCAAAAACGCGUAACCUAAACGGUCUUGUCUAUACCUGUUAUGCCUCAUUGCAAUUUAUGUCAAACCUAUUACCCAGUGCCUCUCAGGUAUUGCAAUAGUUGUAGAACAACGUUCUGCGUAUUCUGCGGCCGCUGGAAUGCCUUCAUUUGCCCUCGUUGUGGGCUGUAUACAUUUCGGCUUACUCUUUGACUGUCGUGAAAAAAAUCUACACUACAACAAUGACGAACCAGUUGAGUAGGAAUUAGUUGUGUGUAGAACUUUGUGUACGCAUGAAAUGUAGCAUAUGUCAAUGUAGACGGUAUUGUGAGAAACACUGCUAUUGUGCAAGCUAAAAUACAGUUGUUGCUAGCUUUAAAGGAGCCAUUGCAAAAUAAAACA